CCAGAGAAUGGAACUUUGAGCGGCAAUUCGUUCUCUUUAUUUUCUUCAUUCACACGCGCUCUCUCUCUCUUUUCAAAAACCCUAAUUGAAACGCGAUGGAGGCUGGAAACCAAGCACUGGUCAUUCACACGCGCUCUCCCUCUUCUCUCAGGCGAUUCAAAUGGCGAUUCAAAAACCAGAUCUGAGAUUCCAGGUACCUUUCAUCUAAUAACCUAAAAUCAUCUUGAAUCUCUCUUUUGUGUACGCAGAUCUGAAACCCUACAUUCUUCUUCACGCUUCCUGUUGUCGUUAUCGAUUCGUCAUCACUUUAACUUCUUCGUUCUUCUUUAUCUUUUGUAGAUCCGACCCUAAAAGUUGCAGGUAUGGUGGUGUCGGAUCUACAGAGAUUCAACACUGAGGUAUACUUCACUUUUCUUCUCCGAUCGAAUAUCACGGGUUCCGUUUUAUUGCUCCUGUUGCUGUUUAUUUGUCGGUUCAUCGGUUAAUAUAGAAGGAUAUGUGGUGGAUGAAUUUGUUAUUUUGUUUGUUAUUUUGUUUGUAGGAUUUGUGGUGGAUGGAUUUUGUUUCUUAGUUCUAAAUUCACAUAUUUUACUCUGGUAACACAUAAAUAAUACUUCUGUUCCUCACAAAUCAUGUGUAUAUUGUUAUUAAUCAACUAGAUUUUUUGUAGUUACUCUUGCAUAUGUCAUUCAGGCAAUUUUUUAAAGAUGAUGACGAUGAUUAUAAACAGUCAUCAUAUCCAAAUCAUAAGCAAGUGUUGUAUAAAGAUCCACGUGCUUCACCAGCGGAGGUAACGGUUCUGAGCUCCUGAAAUGAAUCGAUUCCAUCAGUCUAUUUCAUCUUCGUCUAUUCUAUUCUGAUGACCUCCUGCAGCAACGACCGACGAACUAGACAGCCGCAUCAGGCGGCGGCUUUUUUAAACAUGUGGGUCUUCCGGCUUUUAAGGGUGGCACCAAAGUGAUUUAAGGGUUGUUGCGCAUGUGAGAAUCGUUCUUUGAAGACGCUGAAAUCGGUGGAGAGACAACUGAUUGCAAAUGACAAGUUUGGUACCACCAUUUCGAUGUAAGCAUGAUAUAUGUUGCUGAUCUUAACUACAAAUAGGCAGCGAAUACAGGCCCUGGGUGGAAGGAAUAGUAGGAAAAAGAAUGUUCAUCCAUCCUCAAAUAAUAAAUGAGUCAGUUUCAGAUUUUUCACUGUGAUUCCACAUCAGAUUUUUAGGUUUCGAGUAAUCAGAAGUUGCCAUCAGUGUAUCUUCUCGACAAUAUUGUGAACACAUUGGGCGGGAUUGCAUUAAACACUUUUCGACCAAACUCCUCGAGGCGUAUAGACAGGUUGAUUCUACACUACAUUCUGGUAUGGGACAUCAUUUCGGGACUUGGAAAGGAGUGUUUCCUCCUCAAACGCUUCAAUCACAAGAGAAAGAACUUGGUUUACAAUCAGUCGGGAAGUCGGGAACAGGAAGAAAAGGCAGGAGUUAUCAUUUACUGAAUUGACUGAUGAUAUGGUGUGAACUGUUGAAGAAAAUGUCAAAAGAGAUCUUAAAAGUUCAACGAAUUCGGAUUGUGAAAGUCCCAUUGAGAAGCCAUCAAUUUGAGCAUGUGGGUCUACUUACUUCUGGAACAUUAAAUGUUUCUUUGACAUCAGGAGUGGCGAUUAAGCUUUUCUUAGACUAUUCUUAGAUGCCACCUGCAUAAUGGUUUCACACAAGGAAAGUAUAGAUGUGAUUAGAGGUGCAUAAAACCGGGUACCCUAUUCCUAGGUAUUGUAAUGCUUAUUUUUAGGUAUUUUUUUUAAAAAUGAUUAAUGACGCUGACUCUAUGCCAGCGGAUAUUGGUACGGAACUGACAAAGGACUAAGAACUUUAAAAAGCCCAUGAUAUACAUGACUACAUGUUCACAGAAAGGAAGAUAGAUACUAAACAUUUCAGAUUGGCGUAGAGUUGGGAUUGUAUGAAACAUCUAAAGAAAUAUCAGUUGUUUCUUAGACUCACUCGAUACUACAUUUGGUUGAGAAAAUAUAUUAUAUAAAAUGAUGUGUGAUUUUUCAUAUUUAUUUGUUAAUGAGAAGCCACUUCGUGUUAAA